UGGGGAAUAUUGCACAAUGGGCGCAAGCCUGAUGCAGCCAUGCCGCGUGUGUGAAGAAGGCCUCGGGUUGUAAAGCACUUUCAGCGAGGAGGAAGGUGGUGGACUUAAUACGUUCAUCAAUUGACGUUACUCGCAGAAGAAGCACCGGCUAACUCCGUGCCAGCAGCCGCGUAAUACGGAGGGUGCAAGCGUUAAUCGGAAUUACUGGGCGUAAAGCGCACGCAGGCGGUUUGUUAAGUCAGAUGUGAAAAUCCCCGGGCUCAACCUGGGAACUGCAUUGAAACUGGCAAGCUAGAGUCUCNUAGAGGGGGUAGAAUUCCAGGUGGUAGCGGUGAAAUGCGUAGAGAUCUGGAGGAAUACCGGUGGC
rnacentral:rRNA from 1 species